rnacentral:rRNA from 1 species
CCCCUAGAUGUUCUGGGCCGCACGCGCGCUACACUGAACAGUUCAACAAGUCUUAACCUUGGCCGAUAGGUCUGGGUAAUCUUUGAACGCUGUUCGUGAUUGGGAUAGACCUUUGCAAUUAUGGGUCUUCAACGAGGAAUUCCUAGUAAACGCAAGUCAUCAGCUUGCAUUGAUUACGUCCCUGCCCUUUGUACACACCGCCCGUCGCCCCUACCGAUUGAAUGGUCCGGUGAAAUCUCGGGACGGCGGCUUGGUCGCUUGCGUCCGACUGCUGAAACUUGAUUAAACCAUAUCAUUUAGAGGAAGGUGAANUCGUAACA